rnacentral:rRNA from 1 species
GACGAACGCUGGCGGCGUGCUUAAUACAUGCAAGUCGAACGGAAAGGCCCUGCUCUUGUGGGUUGCUCGAGUGGCGAACGGGUGAGUAACACGUGAGUAUCAUGCCCUUAACUUUCGGAUAACUUCACGAAAAUGCGGCUCUUAUCGGAUAGGAUCUCCUGCUGCAUGUUGGUGGAUGGAGAGUUUCGGCGGUUGGGGCUGGACUCGCUGCUUAUCAGCUUGUUGGUCUGGUAGUGGCUGACCAAGGUUUUGACGGGUAGCCGGCCUGAGAGGGUGACCGGCCACAAUGGGACUGAGAGACGGCGCAGAAGGCUACGGGAGGCAGCAGUGGGGAAUAUGGCACAAUGGGCGGAAGCCUGAUGCAGAAACGCUGCGUGCGGGAUAACGGGCUUCGGGUUGUAAACAGAUUUGGCAUGUGACGAAGAGUGAGUGACGGUAAUGGGUAAAGAAGCACCGGCUAACUACGUG